GACGAACGCUGGCGGCGUGCUUAACACAUGCAAGUCGAACGGGCCUGUCUUCUUUUUUGGGGGUGGGUUGAGUGGCGAACGGGUGAGUAUCACGUGAGUAACCUGCCCUUCGGUCCUGGAUAACCGCUUGAAAGGGCGGCUAAUACGGGGUGGUCCGGUUGGUCCGCAUGGGCUGGUCGGGAUAGAUUCACUGUUUUUGGUGUUUCGGCGGGGGAUGGGCUCGCGGCCUAUCAGCUUGUUGGUGGGGUGAUGGCCUACCAAGGCGGUGACGGGUAGCCGGCCUGAGAGGGUGGGCGGCCACACUGGGACUGAGAUACGGCCCAGACUCCUGCGGGAGGCAGCAGUGGGGGGUAUAGCACAAUGGGCGGAAGCCUGAUGCAGCGACGUCGCGUGAGGGAUGGAGGCCUUCGGGUUGUGAACCUCUGUUUCCGGUGGUGAAGGCCCUGUCCGUGUGGUGGGGUUGACGGUAGCCGGGGAUGAAGCGCCGGCUAACUACGUG
rnacentral:rRNA from 1 species